AACGCAAAAAUCACAGCCAUUCGUGACGCCAAAGCAUUCCUUUGAGGUUGAACCCAUUACGGCGUUCUGACCCAUGACCAACGGGAUAUUGUUACGCUUUUAGGGAUGGACUGGAGAACAAAUUAAUUGAUCUUGGGUGCAGCAUUUCAUGUUUAACCUUGUUGUUAUUAAGGGAUUACCUUCGUGUGCCCGUAUGGGAAGUGGUGCAAUGAUCAGCUAAACAUUU
rnacentral:snoRNA from 1 species